AGACUGAACAAAUUGUAAUGAACAUACAGCAUCAACUUAUAUUAUUUACAUAGAACAUGUACAAGUAGAUAAGCAUAUAUUCUAUCAUGGAUUUCCAAUGUUCUUUUUUAUCUUAAGACAUUUUUCCUUAGGCAUUAAAUAUAUU